UGCAAGUUAGUAUACUAAAAUACUUUUAACUUAGGAUUAAACAUAAAAGAUUAACCCUUUACUUGCCA
rnacentral:tRNA from 1 species